rnacentral:rRNA from 1 species
GACGAACGCUGGCGGCGUGCCUAAUACAUGCAAGUUGAGCGAUGAAGAUUGGUGCUUGCACCAAUUUGAAGAGCAGCGAACGGGUGAGUAACGCGUGGGGAAUCUGCCUUUGAGCGGGGGACAACAUUUGGAAACGAAUGCUAAUACCGCAUAACAACUUUAAACAUAAGUUUUAAGUUUGAAAGAUGCAAUUGCAUCACUCAAAGAUGAUCCCGCGUUGUAUUAGCUAGUUGGUGAGGUAAAGGCUCACCAAGGCGAUGAUACAUAGCCGACCUGAGAGGGUGAUCGGCCACAUUGGGACUGAGACACGGCCCAAUCUCCUACGGGAGGCAGCAGUAGGGAAUCUUCGGCAAUGGACGAAAGUCUGACCGAGCAACGCCGCGUGAGUGAAGAAGGUUUUCGGAUCGUAAAACUCUGUUGGUAGAGAAGAACGUUGGUGAGAGUGGAAAGCUCAUCAAGUGACGGUAACUACCCAGAAAGGGACGGCUAACUACGUG